ACAACAUUAGGACCGUCGGUCUACCGAGCAAACCCGCUCGGUGGAAGAUCUUCCUUUCGUCGU
rfam:Bombyx mori DNA, contig: Bm_scaf136_contig39456, strain: p50T/Dazao, build 2, whole genome shotgun sequence.